CAGCCGCCGCGGGAAAACGUAGGUGGCAAGCGUUGUCCGGAAUUAUUGGGCGUAAAGGGCUCGCAGGCGGUUUCUUAAGUCUGAUAUGAAAGCCCCCGGCUCAACCGGGGAGGGUCAUUGGAAACUGGGAAACUUGAGUGCAGAAGAGGAGAGUGGAAUUCCACGUGUAGCGGUGAAAUGCGUAGAGAUGUGGAGGAACACCAGUGGCGAAGGCGACUCUCUGGUCUGUAACUGACGCUGAGGAGCGAAAGCGUGGGGAGCGAACAGGAUUAGAUACCCCCGUAGUCCCUGUCUCUUAUAA
rnacentral:rRNA from 1 species